rnacentral:misc_RNA from 1 species
UCAACACGAGAAAUCCACAAAACUUUCAACAACGGAUCUCUUGGUUCUCGCAUCGAUGAAGAGCGCAGCGAAAUGCGAUACCUAGUGUGAAUUGCAGCCAUCGUGAAUCAUCGAGUUCUUGAACGCACAUUGCGCCCGCCGGCAUUCCGGCGGGCAUGCCUGUCUGAGCGUCGUUUCCUUCUUGGGGCGGAGCUUCAGACCUGGGCGGGGAGGCGUGUUUUCCCCGGCUCAAAGCGAGGGCCGGUCUGCGCGAACUAGUGUGUGCGCGCGGGCGGGCAGCGAACUUAACCGAGCUCGACCUC